rnacentral:rRNA from 1 species
UACGAAGGGUGCAAGCGUUACUCGGAAUUACUGGGCGUAAAGCGCACGUAGGCGGACUAUUAAGUCAGGGGUGAAAUCCUGGAGCUCAACUCCAGAACUGCCUUUGAUACUGAUGGUCUCGAGUCCGGAAGAGGUGAGUGGAAUUCCGAGUGUAGAGGUGAAAUUCGUAGAUAUUCGGAGGAACACCAGUGGCGAAGGCGGCUCACUGGUCCGGUACUGACGCUGAGGUGCGAAAGCUAGGGGAGCAAACAGG